UACGUAGGCAGCGAGCGUUGUUCGGAAUUACUGGGCGUAAAGCGUGCGCAGGCGGUUUUGUAAGUCAGAUGUGAAAUCCCCGGGCUCAACCUGGGAACUGCGUUUGAAACUACAAGGCUAGAGUGUAGCAGAGGGGGGUAGAAUUCCACGUGUAGCAGUGAAAUGCGUAGAGAUGUGGAGGAAUACCAAUGGCGAAGGCAGCCCCCUGGGUUAACACUGACGCUCAUGCACGAAAGCGUGGGGAGCAAACAGG
rnacentral:rRNA from 1 species